CCGCGUGAGGGAAGACUGCCCAUGGGCUGUAAACCUCUUUUUUCAGGGAGGAAAAAAUGACGUGUACCUGAAGAAUAAGCAUCGGCUAACUCCGUGCCAGCAGCCGCGGUAAU
rnacentral:rRNA from 1 species